UGGGGAAUUUUGGACAAUGGGCGAAAGCCUGAUCCAGCAAUGCCGCGUGUGUGAAGAAGGCCUUCGGGUUGUAAAGCACUUUUGUCCGGAAAGAAAUCCUUGGCUCUAAUACAGUCGGGGGAUGACGGUACCGGAAGAAUAAGCACCGGCUAACUACGUGCCAGCAGCCGCGGUAAUACGUAGGGUGCAAGCGUUAAUCGGAAUUACUGGGCGUAAAGCGUGCGCAGGCGGUUUGCUAAGACCGAUGUGAAAUCCCCGGGCUCAACCUGGGAACUGCAUUGGUGACUGGCAGGCUAGAGUAUGGCAGAGGGGGGUAGAAUUCCACGUGUAGCAGUGAAAUGCGUAGAGAUGUGGAGGAAUACCGAUGGCGAAGGCAGCCCCCUGGGCCAAUACUGACGCUCAUGCACGAAAGCGUGGGGAGCAAACAGGAUUAGAUACCCCUGGUAGUUCCANGCCCCUAAACGAUGUCAACUAGUUGUUGGGGAUUCAUUUCCUUAGUAACGUAGCUAACGCGUGAAGUUGACCGCCUGGGGAGUACGGUCGCAAGAUUAAACUCAAUGAAUUGACGGGGUCAUAGCUGUUU
rnacentral:rRNA from 1 species